CUCCGGUUUAUGCACCAGCCUAGAGCUUCGAGAAGGUUCAGUAACAUGCGUCUCAAUAUGACGAGAGUACUCAACGCUAUGUAGCAAAAACGCG